rnacentral:rRNA from 1 species
AACGAACGCUGGCGGCAUGCCUAACACAUGCCAGUCGAACGAGAUCUUCGGAUCUAGUGGCGCACGGGUGCGUAACGCGUGGGAAUCUGCCCCUUGCUUCGGAAUAACAGUGAGAAAUUACUGCUAAUACCGGAUGAUGUCUUCGGACCAAAGAUUUAUCGGCAAGGGAUGAGCCCGCGUAGGAUUAGGUAGUUGGUGGGGUAAUGGCCUACCAAGCCGACGAUCCUUAGCUGGUCUGAGAGGAUGAUCAGCCACACUGGGACUGAGACACGGCCCAGACUCCUACGGGAGGCAGCAGUGGGGAAUAUUGGACAAUGGGCGAAAGCCUGAUCCAGCAAUGCCGCGUGAGUGAUGAAGGCCUUAGGGUUGUAAAGCUCUUUUACCAGGGAUGAUAAUGACAGUACCUGGAGAAUAAGCGCCGGCUAACUCCGUG